rnacentral:lncRNA from 1 species
CCUGCUUUGGCCUCCCAAAGUACUGGGAUUACAGGGCUGUGCCUUAACUUCCUCGAAAGACAACAUCAGUGCUGGCGGGCCUCAAGAAGAGCCAUCCCAAGGUAUUGACUAGGCAUCAGCGUCUUCACCAGGGCAACACAGAACAUCCCUGCAGAGUUCCUGGUGGCUGCAGUGGCUGGUAGGGGAUGUAUGCCUGCUUUCCAUCAGAUUCCCAAAGCGGAGCCCCUGGAGGCUUUGGCCCAUGGCCCUGAAGCUCCCUUUCACAAGGAAGAAAGACUUUGCAAAGCCAACACCACUAUUGGAGAGAAAGUGGAGAAUGUGUAUUAGAAGUACUAGUCUUUGAAGGCAAAACAGCUGUAUAGAGUGAGCUUAAGUGCUGGAUCCCUGUGGUUAGGAAGGGACACUAAGCCUCCGGGAUGUGAGAGUCCCAUGGAAGGCAGUAGGCCCAGGAUAAAGCAGGUGUCAGCUCAGAAAGCCCACCAUCACCCAGAAAAGGGAAGAAAUACGCUACCACCAUCACUCUUUCUGCCAAUGACUUCUUUGCACACCUCCACCCUAUCUCCUGGCUCAGUCUCCCAUGUUCUCAUAGCUAGGGAGGUCUCCAUUGUAAUUUGUAUGGGGAGGUUAACCUAUAGGCCAUUCUGAUGAUCCCAGCUCCCUUUCACUACAACCCCCGUCUGCAUCCUUUGCUUUGCAGUAGGAUUUGAGAGAGGAAGGAUGAAGAUGUAGCCACAGGAUACAUUUAAACAGGCACAGAGUUUGAGGGGUGGGGGGGAACAAAAGCAAAACAAUAAAACCUUCACCAG